CACAAGGUUAUCAAAAAAGCAAUAUUUAUCCCCAAAUUGUUCGGCUGUUUCCCCCUUGAUUUAAAGAACAAUGAAUUCGUUGUUUCUAAAAAGUUAGUAUUAUAUAUUUUUUUGAUGUUUCCGACGCUUUGGACAGGGGUGAUUUACAAUGUUUCAAAUCGGCUGGACACCAACGAUGCCAUGUGGCUCGAUUUCUUGCUUUUCGGGAUUCGCAUGUUCGGAGUUUUAUUUGCUGAAACGAUUUCAAUAAUUUGGUUCAUUAUAUAUAAAAAGCACUUCACCAGUUUCCUAAUCGAAUUGCAAAAACUUGAAUUUAUUUUUAAAAAGCUCGGCUUUCCCUGCAAUAUGACGAUGUCUUACAGAAAGCACGUGGUAAGCUUUCUCCUAAUAACAGUCGCAUUUAUCGCCAACUUUUUGAUUAGGAGAAUCACGGUUUUCCGUACGGUACAACAAAUAUUCUCUUACGUAGUACCGUUCAUUCUGUCAAUAAUGGUAUUGAUGUUUAAUGAAUUCGUCGAAAUACUCACCUACCAAUUCAAAACAAUGUGCACUAUCGUAUCGUCGUCGAAAGAAUGCGUAUACCCGCACAGGAAAAUAGAAAUUCUCCUACAGUGCCAGGACGUUUUGGAAUCUGCAGCGACCCAGUUAAACAAGGCCUUCUCUCCUUUGCUACUGCUAUUGAUCGUCAUCACUUUCGCGAGGGCUACGCUCGGAAUUUACAAUUUUCUCAUUAUAAGCGGAAGCAAAGUCAUGGACAUAACGGGGACGUCUUUUAUGAUCAUAGUGUACAUUGCAAUGACAAUAAAUAUGAUAAACAUCAUCACAAAGCUUUUGCGAGAGUCUGAAGCGUUUGACAAGGCGAUUUAUUCCCUCAUUGUAUUUGACGACACAAACACACAUGCAACAAAUGUAACCUAAGCUUUCACAAUAUCUAACAGGGAGGAAGAAAAUCCGUUUCACAGCGUUCGACUUGUUUGAAAUCAAUUUCAGCGUUCUUGGCCAAAUGGUGGCAACAGGCUUCACGUAUCUUAUCAUUGUAGUCCAACUUGACGCUGGUAAAUAAUAAAUUUAUUUAACUAAUAAAAGAUAUUCUAUU